rnacentral:rRNA from 1 species
GACGAACCGUGCGAACGUUAUUCGGAAUCAUUGGGCUUAAAGGGCGCGUAGGCGGCGAUAUAAGUUGGAAGUGAAAUCCCAUCGGCUCAACCGUGUAAUAGCUCCCAGUACUGUAUCGCUCGAGGGGGAUAGGGGUCUGCGGAACUACCGGUGGAGCGGUGAAAUGCGUAGAUAUCGGAAGGAACACCGGUGGCGAAAGCGGCGCGCUGGACCUCUUCUGACGCUGAGGCGCGAAAGCCAGGGGAGCAAACGGG